GCCGGCAUAGCUCAAUGGCUAGAGCAAUUGCAUCAUAAGCAAGAGGUUACAGGUUCGAAUCCUGUUGCCGGCA
rnacentral:tRNA from 4 species